UAGGGAAUCUUCCACAAUGGGCGCAAGCCUGAUGGAGCAACGCCGCGUGAGUGAAGAAGGUCUUCGGAUCGUAAAACUCUGUUGUUAGAGAAGAACAUGCAGGAGAGUAACUGUUCUUGUAUUGACGGUAUCUAACCAGAAAGCCACGGCUAACUACGUGCAG
rnacentral:rRNA from 1 species